rnacentral:rRNA from 1 species
AUUGAACGCUGGCGGCAGGCCUAACCCAUGCAAGUCGUGCGAGCGGCGGACGGGUGAGUAAUGUAUGGGGAUCUGCCUGAUGGAGGGGGAUAACUACUGGAAACGGUUGCUAAUACCGCAUACCAUCAUAUGAACCCAUAUGGGAUUAGCUAGUAGGGGAGGUCACGGCUCACCUAGGCGACGAUCCCUAGCUGGUCUGAGAGUAUGAUCAGCAACAUUGGGACUGAGACACGGCCCAGAGUCCUACGGGAGGCAGCAGUGGGGAAGAGUGCACAAGGGGCGCAAGCCUGAUGCAGCCAGGGCGAGUGUAUGAAGACGGCCUUCGGGUUGUAAAGUACGUUCAGGCGGGAGGCGUUACCGGCAGAAGAAGCACCGGCUAACUCCGUGCCAGCAGCCGCGGUAAUAC